rnacentral:rRNA from 1 species
UGGCGGCGUGCCUUACACAUGCAAGUCGAACGGCAGCACGGGGGGUAACCCCUGGUGGCGAGUGGCGAACGGGUGAGUAAUAUAUCGGAACGUGCCCUGUAGCGGGGGAUAACCUAUCGAAAGAUGGACUAAUACCGCAUACGCUCUACGGAGGAAAGCGGGGGUCGCAAGACCUCGCACUAUAGGAGCGGCCGAUAUCGGAUUAGCUAGUUGGCGGGGUAAAAGCCCACCAAGGCGACGAUCCGUAGCUGGUCUGAGAGGAUGAUCAGCCACACUGGAACUGAGACACGGUCCAGACUCCUACGGGAGGCAGCAGUGGGGAAUUUUGGACAAUGGGCGCAAGCCUGAUCCAGCCAUGCCGCGUGAGUGAAGAAGGCCUUCGGGUUGUAAAGCUCUUUCGGCAGGAACGAAAUGGUUCGUGUUAAUACCACGGACUGAUGACGGUACCUGAAGAAGAAGCACCGGCUAACUACGUGCCAGCAGCCGCGGUAAUACGUAGGGUGCAGGCGUUAAUCGGAAUUACUGGGCGUAAAGCGUGCGCAGGCGGUUUCUUAAGUCAGAUGUGAAAGCCCCGGGCUUAACCUGGGAACUGCGUUUGAAACUGGGAGACUUGAGUGUGGCAGAGGGGGGUGGAAUUCCACGUGUAGCAGUGAAAUGCGUAGAUAUGUGGAGGAACACCGAUGGCGAAGGCAGCCCCCUGGGUUAACACUGACGCUCAUGCACGAAAGCGUGG